GCUCGAACCCAGUGCCUCAUACAUGCAAGCAAGCGCUCUACCAUUGAGCUACAGCCCCACCCCUGUAGUAUAUUUUUAAAAGGAAAAACAUUUUGCAAAUGGAGUUGACUCUGUUGUAUUAAUUCUCAAGCUACAAUGUUCUGUCAUAUCUAUUAGGAGCACUGCCCUUCACCUGAGCGCAUCCAUGUAUUUUUAUCUAUUUAAAGACUACAGAUGGCUUAAGAUGUUUUCUUUGACAUUGAUCAGUUAUGCGUAGGUCACUGUAAUAAAUUAAAGAGAUAUAAGAAAUGACCCAUGACAGGAAGAUUUCCCACGUAAAUUGUGGUCUAGGCACUUCUCAGCAAUACUCUGAAGCCACUGAAAAUAGGUAAAAAAGUUACAAAGGAACUGAGGGAAAAGGAAGAGUUUAUACAAAAUUGUUUAUGUGGGAUGCUCAGAUGAAUCAAGAGAAAGGCUUUUUUCCCAUUAGGUAUGAAUGAAAUAUAUCAAAAUUGUUAAUAGUGAUUAUCUUUUAGAUCUGGAAUGAUUUUAAUAUAAUUACUUUUUACUUAACUUUCUGAUAAAUGAG
rnacentral:lncRNA from 1 species